GACGAACGCUGGCGGCGUGCUUAACACAUGCAAGUCGAACGGAAAGGCCCUGCUUUUGUGGGGUGCUCGAGUGGCGAACGGGUGAGUAACACGUGAGUAACCUGCCCUUGACUAUGGGAUAACUUCAGGAAACUGGGGCUAAUACCGGAUAGGAGUUCCUGCUGCAUUGUGGGGGUUGGAAAGUUUCGGCUGUUGGGGAUGGACUCGCGGCUUAUCAGAUUGUUGGUGGGGUAGGGGCAUCCCAAGGCUUUGACGGGUAGCCGGCCUGAGAGGGUGACCGGCUACAUCGGGACUGAGCUGAGGCCCAGACUACUACGGGAGGCAGCAGUGGGGAAUAUUGCACUAUGGGCUGAAGCAUGAUGCAGCAACGCAGCGUGGGGGAUAACGGCAAUCGGGUUGUAUUCCGCUUUCGCCUUUGACGAAGAGUGAGUGACGGUAAUGGGUAAAGAAGCACCGGCUAACUACGUG
rnacentral:rRNA from 1 species